rnacentral:tmRNA from 1 species
UGUCAGAUAGAACAGAAUCGCCGCGUAGUACGUUGUGGACGAAGUGGCUAAAACUUACACAACUCAUCCAAAGCACCCUGCCGAUCGGGCGGCUGCGGAUUAAAUUAGUAGACACGGCUAAGCAUGUAGUACCGACAGCGGAGUACUGGCGGACGGGGGUUCAAAUCCCCCCGGCUCCACCA